UACGUAGGGGGCCAGCGUUGUCCGGAUUUACUGGGCGUAAAGAGCGCGUAGGCGGUUUUGUAAGCGGAAGGUGAAAUACCGGGGCUCAACUCCGGUGCUGCUUUCCGAACUGCAAGACUAGAGUACGGGAGAGGGUAGUGGAAUUCCUGGUGUAGCGGUGGAAUGCGUAAAUAUCAGGAGGAACACCCGUGGCGAAGGCUGCUACCUGGAACGUUACUGACGCUGAGGCGCGAAAGCUAGGGGAGCGAACGGG
rnacentral:rRNA from 1 species